GAUGAAGAACGUAGCGAAAUGCGAUACGUAAUGUGAAUUGCAGAAUUCAGUGAAUCAUCGAAUCUUUGAACGCACAUUGCGCCCUCUGGUAUUCCGGGGGGCAUGCCUGUUCGAGCGUCAUUAUAACCACUCAAGCUCUCGCUUGGUAUUGGGGUUCGCGGUUCCGCGGCCCCUAAAAUCAGUGGCGGUGCCUGUCGGCUCUACGCGUAGUAAUACUCCUCGCGAUUGAGUCCGGUAGGUCUACUUGCCAGCAACCCCCAAUUUUUACAGGUUGACCUCGGAUCAGGUAGGGAUACCCGCUGAACUUAAGCAUAUCAAUAAGCGGAGGA
rnacentral:misc_RNA from 1 species